AUUGAACGCUGGCGGCAGGCCUAACACAUGCAAGUCGAACGGUAACAGGAAGCAGCUUGCUGCUUUGCUGACGAGCGGCGGACGGGUGAGUAAUGUCUGGGAAACUGCCUGAUGGAGGGGGAUAACUACUGGAAACGGUAGCUAAUACCGCAUAACGUCGCAAGACCAAAGAGGGGGACCUUCGGGCCUCUUGCCAUCGGAUGUGCCCAGAUGGGAUUAGCUAGUAGGUGGGGUAACGGCUCACCUAGGCGACGAUCCCUAGCUGGUCUGAGAGGAUGACCAGCCACACUGGAACUGAGACACGGUCCAGACUCCUACGGGAGGCAGCAGUGGGGAAUAUUGCACAAUGGGCGCAAGCCUGAUGCAGCCAUGCCGCGUGUAUGAAGAAGGCCUUCGGGUUGUAAAGUACUUU
rnacentral:rRNA from 1 species